ACUCCACUCCCAUGGGAAAUACCCAACAGAAUCAGACAGGAAACCCCAAAGUGCCACUGAAAAGCAAUUGAGAGCCCCGCUUUGGUAUACCUGAUGGGAGCGGAGAGUUAGAGCGGCAGGAAAUAACCUCCACUCCAGGGUAGAAGUAGACAGGAGAUGUGAUGGAAGGUUUCUGCAUGCUGGGACUAGCUCAGGUCAAAGUCCAGAACUCCAGAAAACAAGGCCUGCCCCCAGCUCAGAGCAGCUACCACAGCACAAAAUGGUGUGGAAUCCAGGAGCCAGGAUGAAGCGUGUGGGUAGAUGGUGAUUGGAUAGCUAACUGGCCUUUCCACUGCUCUAGCCUGGAACUGGUUGGGCUGGGGCAGGGGACAUGUUGGUCUGAGUAUAGAUUUUGUCAGAAAACCCAGGCACCACUCCCUUGCCUUUGUGGGGUGAUUCUAAAAUUGGACUGUGGUAAGGGUUGCACAACUCCACAAGUUUAUUAAAAUCAUUAAAAUGUAAACUUACAACCGGUGGGUUUUAUGGUAUGUAAAUUAUACCUCAAUAAAGCUGUCUAAUAUCUGCA
rnacentral:antisense_RNA from 1 species